CCUCAUACAAUGCUACACACUGUACUACACACUAUACUACUGACUGCACUACACAUCAUACUAGUCACUGUACUACACAGCAUACUAGUCACUGUACUACACACUGUACUCCACACUGUACUACACACCAUACUAGUCACUAUACGACACACUAUACUACUCACUGUACUACACACUAUACUACACACUCUACUACUCACUAUACUACUUACUGUACUACACACUACUACACACUAUAUUACUCACUGUACUACACACUAUACUACUCACUGUACUACACACUAUACUACUCACUCUACACACUAUACUACUCACUGUACUACACACUAUACUACACACUCUACUACUCACUAUACUACUUACUGUACUACACACUACUACACACUAUAUUACUCACUGUACUACACACUAUACUACUCACUGUAUUACACACUAUACUACUCACUGUACUACACAAAGAAGAAGGAUUAAAUGAUGAAUAAAUGCAUAAUUCAUCCUCUAUAAACUAGUCUAUAGUUCUUAAACUUUAGUUCUAAUCCGUGAGACCUGAGACGGACUCUGUCUCUCUCUCCCCAUGUCCGCCCCAUAUCCUUUGUCCGUCCCCGUUUUUGUGUCCAGCCUAUAAGAGUGAGAUCAUGAAGAUCGGUCUCCUGAGGUGUCGAGAAGAACCUCCAAAGCUCCUUCAGGGCAACAAGUUCCAGGAAAGGACGUUCCAGAUCAUAAACCACAAGCUGCUGCUGCUCAAGGACAAGAAGAGCAUCAAGCCAGAGAAGGAGUGGUCUCUGAAGUCCAUGAAGAUCUACAUCGGCAUCCGCAGGAAACUCAAGGCUCCGACCAG
ensembl:lncRNA